rnacentral:lncRNA from 1 species
GUUGAGUGUAGAAUGCAUGAAAAUUGUUUUCAUUGCAAAAUUCCUCUUUUUUGCGGAGAUACGCCAUUUUGACUGAACACAUAUCCUGGUUGGUCCUUCGGUUGGCUGAAUAGUACAUCCGGUUGGACCCUGGUUCAGGUGAGGUUUCUGUGCCUAUAUCAAUAAGGAUAUAAAUAUAUAUAACUCGAUAAGCGUCGAAAGUACAGUAGUCCACUCUGUACCCCGCUAAACACACGGCCUAGUACAUAUAUCUCCGUACCCCGCGAUCUCUCAAACACACUGCCUAGUACAAAAGUCUUUGUACCCCGCAAAUCCCGCGGCCUAGUGCGACACCUCUGCACCCCGCAAAUCCCGCAGCCUAGUGCAGACACUUCUGCACCCUGCAAUCUCAA